rnacentral:misc_RNA from 1 species
AAGACAAGCCUGCUAAAGAGAUCCCUCCAGGUGCUUGAGACUCAUCUUCGCCCAUGACCUUGAAGUCAGGGGUUAUAUCAUCAGGAAGCUGGUGGCGCCAGAAUUGAUGGGCCUCAUCAUCAGAAGCAUUAGAAACAGACGACUCUGAUCGAUCAAGCACUGCUUUCCCUAUGGUCCCAGAAGCAGUAAAUCUAGCUGUAGCAGCUGCCAUGUUUGAUGUACUUCCAGAUGGUGAAGAUGAG